AGCCAGGACUCAAGAGUUUCUUCUGAGUCUCCUAUAUGGGAGGUUUCUGUCUGUUCAAGGUCACCUGAAGCAUUUCCUGGCAUUUUCCAUGUCUGUCGCUAAUUCAUUUUGGGAGCCGCUGUUUCCAUUUCAGCCUUGACAUUUGCUUAAUGACAUGAAUGGAGCCUGUUCUGGGAUGCUUGCUGCCGCAAUUGGAAAGCCAAUACCAUCUGCCACAAAUAGAAGCUAUCCAUAAAAAGAAAUACCGUGAAAAUAAAAGAAUAUUACUGAAUUCUAGAAGAGUAGGGUUGCCAUGGAAGAC